CUAUCAGUUUAUUGAUGUGUGGGAUCUUCAUUUCACAGAUGAGGAGAAAGCAUUAGUGAAAGAGUAUUUGGGAGCUGAUAGAAAGACAAAAUUGCAAAUAGAAGCUAAAAAUGGAAAAAAACUGGUAAGAUUGGUCAACACAUCACUGAAUGAAAAAUGGCUUGUAGGAAACAGUAAAAGAUGUCCCAAAUGUAGGGUGUCCAUUGAGAUGAGGAGAAAGCAUUAGUGAAAGAGUAUUUGGGAGCUGAUAGAAAGACAAAAUUGCAAAUAGAAGCUAAAAAUGGAAAAAAACUGGUAAGAUUGGUCAACACAUCACUGAAUGAAAAAUGGCUUGUAGGAAACAGUAAAAGAUGUCCCAAAUGUAGGGUGUCCAUUGAGAUGAGGAGAAAGCAUUAGUGAAAGAGUAUUUGGGAGCUGAUAGAAAGACAAAAUUGCAAAU